rnacentral:SRP_RNA from 1 species
ACACACGUCCCGUAAAGGAGAUAAAGCAAUGGGGCAGGCCGGUUUUCUCCCGUGCCUGUCGGUCUGCGUAAUUGGGUCCUGCGCGGCAGAUGUUCGCGAACCCCGCCAGGUCCGUGAGGAAGCAACGGUAAGUGGGCCUCUCUGGGUGUCGCAGGGGAGCCUGAUUACGCUGACUGGUAGGUGCUGGUGAAAAUCGGUUUUCUAUGU